UCCAGACCUAAGUGUGUGUGUGUGUGUGUGUGUAUGUAUAUAUGUAUACACACACACACACACACUUAGGUCUGGAAA